rnacentral:rRNA from 1 species
AACGCGUGAGUAACCUGCCUUACACAAGGGGAUAGCCUCUGGAAACGGAGAAUAAUACCCUAUGAAACUAUCUUGUCGCAUGAAAAGAUAGUCAAAGUGUAUUAGCGGUGUAAGAUGGACUUGCGUCUGAUUAGCUAGUUGGUGAGAUAACAGCCCACCAAGGCAACGAUCAGUAGCCGGCUUGAGAGAGUGUACGGCCACAUUGGGACUGAGACACGGCCCAG